AAUAACAUACUGACCUUACAAAUGACAUAUCCAUUUACUAAACUAAUCUGUUCAAUCAAGUAACUGAUAUUCACGCAUGCCCAUUUUUAUGCAAGUAAAAGUCUGAAAAUAUUUCUUCAUAACAGUGUAACCAAACAGCUACACCACUUAAGUAAACCAGUUCAUGUGUGGAGGUCAAUUACAUCAGUUCAGAUGUGGAGGUCAAUUAUGUUGCCCAGCCUAGGUUAGGGCAGCUACAAACAAGUACAUGAAAUAUUCCUACCACAAUGACUUCAACACAAUUUUUGUUUUUCAACACUAAAACCAAAAUCUCUAAUGAAAUAAAUUAAUCAACUACUCCAUGAAAAUAUCCUCAAUUUUGUUGCAAGAGAUCGUAAAUCAAUUAUCAAAACCUCAUCACCUAAAGAGUUUGCUCUGGCAUCCCAUCAGCUCCUUCCUAGCUAUUCUCACCAACCCUUUAUAUGUGGGGGUAACCAUGCAUCUCCACUAUUACAAGAUACCUGUGCUUGUAUAAAGACCUCUCCCCAUCUCAAAUACUACCCCACGAAGUGGGGGGGGGGUCCUUUUCCUAUCUUUCACACCUGGUAAACUUCACUCGUGCCAGUGAUGCAAAAAAAAAAAAAAAAGGUACCCACCACACAGCAAA